rnacentral:rRNA from 1 species
GUAGUCAUAUGCUUGUCUCAAAGAUUAAGCCAUGCAUGUCUAAGUAUAAGCAAUUAUAUCGUGAAACUGCGAAUGGCUCAUUAAAUCAGUUAUCGUUUAUUUGAUAGUACCUUACUACUUGGAUAACCGUGGUGAUUCUAGAGCUAAUACAUGCUGAAAACCCCAACUUCGGGAGGGGUGUAUUUAUUAGAUAAAAAACCAAUGCCCCUCGGGGCUUUUUGGUGAUUCAUGAUAACUUUACGGAUCGCAUAGCCUUGCGCUGGCGACGGUUCAUUCAAAUUUCUGCCCUAUCAACUUUCGAUGGUAAGGUAUUGGCUUACCAUGGUUUCAACGGGUAACGGGGAAU